UGUGUAAAUAGACAGUUUUAUUCUGAACGUGGUUGCACAGGGCCUUGAUACAGGUCAUAAGGGACAAGGUACUCCCCAACCAAUCCUGUGCAAGGUAUCCCACAAAGAACUGGGACACAGCUCACACCCAGCCUUUGCCAGCAUGCUGCCCUAUGCUGGCUGUGACUGUAGUCCUAAACACCUGGAGGGCACCAGGUAUGCAAAGGAUGUUCUGACCCCAUUUACUUUGCAACAGCCCCUGCCAUACGAGUUUGACUUGCAGGAUUUAGUGUGUGUGUUUUCCUAGAACCUGCAGAUCUACUAACCGGAGCCAGGUGCGAAAGACAUACCGUAUUUUUCGCUCUAUAAGACGCACUUUUUCCCUCCUAAAAAGUAAGGGAAAAUGUGUGUGCUGCCCUCCGGAGGCUUCACGGGCUGCCCCAGAAG